GACGAACGCUGGCGGCGUGCUUAACACAUGCAAGUCGAACGGAAAGGCACUGCUUUUGUGGGGUGCUCGAGUGGCGAACGGGUGAGUAACACGUGAGUAACCUGCCCUUGACUUUGGGAUAACUUCAGGAAACUGGGGCUAAUACAGGAUAGGAGCCCCUGCUGCAUGGUGGGGGUUGGAAAGUUUCGGCGGUUGGGGAUGGACUCGCGGCUUAUCAGCUUGUUGGUGGGGUAGUGGCUUACCAAGGCUUUGACGGGUAGCCGGCCUGGGAGGGUGACCGGCCUCAUUGGGACUGCGGUACGGCCCAGACUGCUACGGGGGGCAGCAGUGGGGAAUAUUGCACAAUGGGCGGACGCCUGAUGCAGCAACGCCGCGUGCGGGAUGACGUCCUUCUGGUUGUAAACCGCUUUCGCCUGUGACGAAGCGUGUGUGACGGUAAUGGGUAAAGAAGCACCGGCUAACUACGUG
rnacentral:rRNA from 1 species